rnacentral:rRNA from 1 species
UACGAAAAGUGCAAGCGUUGUUCGGAUUUACUGGGCGUAAAGAGAGUGUAGGUGGUUUAUUAAGUCGGAUGUAAAAUCCCGGGGCUCAACCUCGGAACUGCAUUCGAUACUGAUAGGCUAGAGUUUGGGAGGGGUAAGCGGAAUUCCGUGUGUAGCAGUGAAAUGCGUAGAUAUACGGAGGAACACCUGAGGCGAAGGCGGCUUACUGGACCAAUACUGACACUGAGACUCGAAAGCGUGGGUAGCAAACAGGAUUAGAAACCCCAGUAGUCC